ensembl:lncRNA
GUCAUAAUAAUAAUGACAACUUGCACUUGUACAGCACCUUGCAGUUUACACAAUGCCUCAACAUCCCCCUCUGUGGGGGACCCGGCUCUGGUCUGCCACCGUCUGCCCACGGCCUCGGCCAGUCUAGCUGUGUGUGCUGGGUGCCCUUCCUGCCUGCCCCAGUCUCCCCACGUCUGCCAUGAAACCCUCGUUUCUCCUCACCCCUCCUUUGAGUCUGCUGUGGUCUUUCAGCUGCCGAUGCCUCUGCUCACUUUUGGUCCUAUUCGUGAACCCAAGGGCUGACACAAAGUAUUCCUCCACAUUGUUACAUCUCCAUGUUUCACCACUUUCCCACUUUUGUACAUUUCUGUGUUUUCUCUAUUUUGGCUCCUUUCCUACUCUUCCUCUUUUUAUGAAGUGUAUUUUUAGUCCUAUGUCUGUGUUUUAACCCUCAUUUGAUAAGAUAGGCAUUUGUCAGCCUUAAAAACAUUUACUUUAGGAAUUAGAAGUAUGACUUUUUAGCAUUGUGUCUUCAGCGUCUGUAAACUUGCCAGAUCUAAAAAUACUUGCAGAAGAAAUGAGGGUGAAAGCUACAGGAGGGAGCAGCUGGGUUGGUCAGCCAUGCCAUGGCGAAGCCUGCUGCUCGGUCUCUGAGACUCAGCCCUGCGGUUCCGAUGAAAUCUCACGCUCAAGCUCACUUGGGCCUGAGCCUGUGGCGGUGAAAAUGGCAAACAACAAAGACUGUGACCUGGGAUCCGCGUUUCCACAGGCCCUUCCUCAGAAGCCCUGACACAGCAGGGGAAAGGGUCGCAGGCCCAGGGGUUCCACUUGGGGGGAACUUGGUGACUGGAUGAAUGGAAUGUGGCACUGGGGCCAGAGCUCCCAGGGUGGGGUGGAACCUUCCCGAAAGAAAUUUCAGAAUGUAGGGUUAUGUUCCUUCACUGGGAAGGGUUAUAUUAUCGCUUACUCCUAACAGUGGAAACCCUUCACCACUCCAGAAAUUUCCCCUGGUGCAGUCACACGUAAUGACUGCAGGGAGAGAGGGAACGGCUGUGGGCCCCUAAGGAACAGCCCCAGCUGCUGUCUGUGUGCCGAGGUGUAGAUGGCCCCAGGGGAGGGACAGCGGUUGAUUCCCAAGCUGGAGACAGUGGUGUGGGUGUCAGGUAAGUAGGUCUUGCCAGGAAACAGGCAGCCAUGGGUGAUUUGGGUGAUUCGGGCAGGUUCUGGGAACUGAGCCUAAGUUUUGCGAAAGUCACUGGGCUAAAGCUCCGCCCAUUUCACCUUGAAAGGACAGUGACCUCCUCACAGCAGAGCAGCGGGUGAGAGAGUGAGUGUGAGCAGAGGAGCUACUGUCCCGCACCCCAGAGCUGUCCUGUUGGAUGCACACCAGUUUUGCAGGUCGGCCCUGCUGCUUUGUGUGGCCAGAAAGAAAAAAGAAAAAGAGGAAGAGACCAGGCCCCACGGUCUUUGAGGAUGCAUGGGAGGACCUAAAGGCCCAGCAGCUCUGAGCAAGGCCGCUAGGAGCACAGCCCCAGGGACCCUUCGCAGCCAAGCUGAGCACACUCAAGCCCUCCUGGCAGCGCCAGGCUCGCUCCCUUCACGGGUCCCUGCUCCGCAGGCCGAGUGCCCACACUGGAGGGUCAGGAGCUGCAGUGUCCAGGCACCGCUGUCACCACCUUCAUGCCACCGCCGCACACGGUAACAGACUGGGGAUAAACAAACCUACGCCAGGGACUUCCUGUUUCCUACUGGUGACAUAUAAAAGUUACUUUUAAUGUUUUAAAUCUGUG